UUAAAACCUGAGGGCGUGGUUGGUGAGAGGCCAUUUGAAUCCCUCGGCAGGUCCUGAAGUCCUUAUGCCUGUAUUCAAUACAUAACUGAAAGAUUUGAUGAUGAAAGAUAUUUCCAUAAAAACAGAGCCUCAGGAAUCAGUGCGAUUUGAAGAUGUGGCUGUGUACUUCACAGAGCAGGAACUGGCCAGCUUCACACUUGAUCAGAAGGCCCUGUACAAGGAGGUGGUGCUUGAGAACGUUGCACAUGUGGCUUUUCUGGGGUACAUUGCAAAACUGAGGAAGUAUGCUCAACUGGCUGGAACAGAAACAUCCAGGGUGAAGGCAUUCCUCUAAGUCAGGUGUACCAGGAAGGCAGAGCUGUGUCAUUGCUGUCAAGUGCAGACUUUUCUGUAGUCACGCAUAUUUCUGUAGACAUAGUGCUUUUUAGUUCAUUAAAGUUGUUCAUUAUCAUGGGCAAA
rnacentral:sRNA from 1 species